AUAUAACUGAGCUUAUUGCAUCUGGAAGAGAGAAAUUGGCAUCUGUGCCUUCUGGUGGUGGCAGUGCUGUUGCAGUUGCUGUAACCGGGGGUGGUGGUGGUGCAGCUGCUGCUCCUGCUGCAGCUGAGGCAAAGAAAGAGGAAAAUGUGGAAGAGAAAGAGGAAUCAGAUGAUGAUAUGGGCUUCAGUCUCUUUGAUUGAGGAAUUAGGAUAUCAAGUUACUUUUGUUUCAAGAUUUCUCCAAUUCAGGACUUUGUAGAACUUAAGAGUUUGUCUCCACAGGCUGUCAUUUUUGGUUGUUUCCCAUUUAAGACACGGAGAUUGAUAACCAGGCUAAAAUCUUACGGAUUAACUUAGUAUUCUGUGUUAAAAUUUUUUGUAUGGAUUUUGUCUUUUCAAUUUGCGAUGUUCCUUGAGAUGCUGGCAUGGUCUGCUAAUUUGCCAUACUCGUUGGAUGUUGAUACUUGAGACUUCUGAUCUUGGAUGGCUGAAGUUUUGAGUACUGAUUAUUUUGAUAAUUUAGCCCAGAGAAGUAUUUCUGAGA